UGCAAUUAGAUUAGGAUUUUUAAUAAUAGUUGUCUUCUUCACCUUCACUUGUAUUUUUGGAGCUUGUUUGUUGUGUAGUUUUGCUUUCUCGAUGCAAAAUGGCUUUCAAGAUGUCCGACAAUUUGCUGUCAGCAAUUUACAUCCGGAAGAAAAGUUAAAAAUCUUAAAUUUCAUGAAGAGAUUUGGGAAAGUGUCGUUGUGUUUCAUGAUCGGUGGUAUUUAUCCAGUUACGAAAAGAAUUCCUUUCAAAGUU